UUUUAUCCGAAAUAACCAAUUUUCUCUACCAAUCAAAAUUUAUGUAGAGAAUAGGAAGUACAAACCAGUAAGCUCGAUAUAUAAUAAAAACAUAAGCGACGUGUCCCUUCCACUUGAGAUACAACAAGUGGCAAGCAUGAAUCGGGCUCACUAAACCUGGACACACGGCAGCGUUUAUGCCACAUGUCGGCCAGAAGAACCUGAUCUUUCUUUGGAGGAGCAUUUGGCUGCUUUCCUUUCGCAUUUGCGGCUUUGUUAUCUUAUGAGGCCGUGGUUUAGGAUGAGUGAAGGUAGUGGUUUCGUCAGCUAAGCAUAUUGCUUACUCAGAUCAGUAAUAAACAAUAACCCACGCAUGGAAGAAAUGAAAUUGCAAACCCUUUCCGGGAAGGAAUCAAUCAACCUAAAGCUAAAGUUCCUCUACACCUCUGAAACUUUAACUUUUAGACUUCCUUUCUUUACUUGAAAUCUCAUAACAUCACGGAUUCUUUCCUUUUCUUUACAAGCUCUCUCAUCACAAUAAACUUACUCUAAUACAAUCUCCACAGAAGAAAGGUUAGAAGAAAAAUGUGUCACCCGCCGGGUGUGCCUUGGGUUAGCAGGAACUUGGUGGUGUAUCGAAGAUGGCUAGUUUUACAAGCGGUGGAGACAGAAACUGGACAUGCACCGACAGAGGUGGCUGCUACUGGCAGCAGUGCUGUUGCUGGCUCGAUAAAGAAGUGUUUGUGUUCUCCCACAAGGCACCCCGGAUCCUUCAGGUGCAGGCACCACCGUUCUGAUUAUGUGUGGGGUGGGAGAAUAACAAGAAGGAAGCAACCUCCUUGAAAGGUCUGAUGUAAGUGUAUAAACAAUGAAAAAAGAAAUUGAAGUGUUUAAAUCUUGUGUCCAAUAAAUUUCCUUUUCAUUCACUGCUCCAGUUUCACACACUGGGUUCCGUUGAUAAACGUCUAGUAAAGUAACUUAGCCAACGGGCAUAGGAACAUGAAAAUGGCAUCCGUUUAUAGAUUUUCAGGAUAGGAACUCAACCAUUCGGCAUAGGUUCAGAGACUGAUUCUGGUUACUGGUCUCAAAGUCUCACCUUUUUUCUUCAUUUGUCUCCAUUUGACAUCAGUGCAGCACCAGAACAAAAACUUUGUUAUUUUAUUUAUUUAUUUUUUCUAUAAAAAAGUGAGGCAUCUAGUAAAGGGG
rnacentral:lncRNA from 1 species